GCUUACGGCCACACCGCCCUGGUUCACCGAUCUCGUUUGAUCUCGGAAGCUAAGGUAGGUUGGGCCUGGUUAGUACUUGGAUGGGGAGACCGCCUGGGAAUACCAGGUGCUGUAAGCU
rnacentral:rRNA from 1 species